GUCCUCUUGGGGCUAUGCAGAGAAGUUCAUGUUGAUGAAAUGAGCUGUCCUAGAAUGGCAGUUCCCGGGCAGCAGAGCCUGGGCUCAAGGAAGGUUGAAAGAAGGGGUGGCGUGGAGCUGCCAGGUGCAAAUGUCAGGCCAGCAAUGCAGUCCAGCUUGCAUGGACGUGCUUCGCCUAGGAAGUUGUGACUUGGCUGCAUUUUCCACUUCAGGUGAGAUGGAAGGUUGAACUCUACCUCACCUCCUGGCUACAGAGUGCGGUGGCGCCAGCACAGAGCUCUGCUCAACGUCCCUCUGUGCUUUCACGAUGCUGAUGGAUUAUGAAGG
rnacentral:lncRNA from 1 species